rnacentral:sRNA from 1 species
AUGAUCUCCAUUAAUGAACGGAUUUGGGCUAAUGAAGGAAAUGAAUGGCAUUUGGUCCAGUCGUCAAUAAGAGUUAUAUCUUUAUUAUCAAAUAACGCACAUACGUUAUGGUCCCGAUCAAGGAGACGGAUCAUUGGAAAAGCUCAGGAUAUGGUGUCUGUUUGUUUAAAUAUUUGUUAUCAAAAACCAGGCACUGAACGUAUGCAGCAAACUCUGAAAGAACUUCAAUGUAAUUUUCAGAGAAAUCUACCAUAAAAUAUCUUGUGUUCAAAAAUUAUAUGAAAAUAAUAAACAUAAUUUUUAAAAAUAAAGCUCUAAGUUAAUAUAUUGCAAGUAACCUGAA